rnacentral:rRNA from 1 species
AACGAACGCUGGCGGCAGGCCUAACACAUGCAAGUCAAACGGGUGUAGCAAUACACUAGUGGCGCACGGGUGAGUAACACGUGGGAAUCUACCUUUCAGUAAGGAAUAACAGCGGGAAACUGCUGCUAAUGCCUUAUGGUCCCUUCGGGGUAAAGAUUUAUCGCUGAAAGAUGAGCCCGCGUAAGAUUAGCUAGUUGGUGGGGUAAAAGCCUACCAAGGCUACGACCUUUAGCUGGUCUUAGAGGACGAUCAGCCACACUGGAACUGAGACACGGUCCAGACUCCUACGGGAGGCAGCAGUGGGGAAUAUUGGACAAUGGGGGAAACCCUGAUCCAGCCAUGCCGCGUGAGUGAUGAAGGCCUUCGGGUUGUAAAGCUCUUUAGGGUGGGACGAUAAUGACGGUACCACCAGAAUAAGCCCCGGCUAACUUCGUGCCAGCAGCCGCCGUAA